GCAGUGUUGAGCUGGCUGACUCUGUCCAAGGCUAUAUUUCUGCUGGACCGGUCCAAAUUGCACCCGAGGGGGAAGUUGCCAGUGUUCAAGCAGCCGGUGUGGCGACUCCUCUGGUCCCCUAUAUUCCAGUCUUGGGAGUUGCAGUGGGAGUCCUUCUACUUGCUGUUGUAGUGUUUGCUGCCAAAGCUAUGCGAUGUUGGGUUUCUAUUUAAUAAAAAUCUUUGCCUGAAA